GAUGAACGCUGGCGGCAUGCCUAAUACAUGCAAGUCGAGCGAAGCGGGGACGGGUGAGUAACACGUGGAUAACAUCCUAUAAGACUGGGAUAAAUCCGGGACACCGAAGCUAAACCGGUUACUUAGAGAUGGAUCCUCUCUGCCUUAGCUAGUGGGUACGGUAACGGCUUACCAAGGCAACGAGGCAUAGCCGACCUGAGAGGGGGAUCGGCCACACUGGAACUGAGACACGGUCCAGACUCCUACGGGAGGCAGCAGUAGGGAAUCUUCCGCAAUGGGCGAAAGCCUGACGGAGCAACGCCGCGUGAGUGAUGAAGGUCUUCGGAUCGUAAAACUCUGUUAUUAGGGAAGCGGUACCUAAGCAGAAAGCCACGGCUAACUACGUGCCAGCAGCCGCGGUAAUAC
rnacentral:rRNA from 1 species